UACGUAGGGUGGAAGCGUUGUCCGGAAGCAUGGGGCGUAAAGAGCUCGUAGGCGGUUUGUCGCGUCUGCUGUGAAAACCUAGGGCUUAACCCUGGGCCUGCAGUGGGUACGGGCAGACUAGAGUGCGGUAGGGGAGACUGGAAUUCCUGGUGUAGCGGUGAAAUGCGCAGAUAUCAGGAGGAACACCGGUGGCGAAGGCGGGUCUCUGGGCCGUAACUGACGCUGAGGAGCGAAAGCAUGGGGAGCGAACAGG
rnacentral:rRNA from 1 species